GGUUAAGCGACUAAGCGUACACGGUGGAUGCCCUGGCAGUCAGAGGCGAUGAAGGACGUGCUAAUCUGCGAAAAGCGUCGGUAAGGUGAUAUGAACCGUUAUAACCGGCGAUGUCCGAAUGGGGAAACCCAGUGUGAUUCGUCACACUAUCGUUAACUGAAUACAUAGGUUAACGAGGCGAACCGGGGGAACUGAAACAUCUAAGUACCCCGAGGAAAAGAAAUCAACCGAGAUUCCCCCAGUAGCGGCGAGCGAACGGGGAGCAGCCCAGAGUCUGAAUCAGCUUGUGUGUUAGUGGAACGGUCUGGAAAGUCCGACGGUACAGGGUGAUAGUCCCGUACACCAAAAUGCACAGGCUGUGAACUCGAAGAGUAGGGCGGGACACGUGGUAUCCUGUCUGAAUAUGGGGGGACCAUCCUCCAAGGCUAAAUACUCCUGACUGACCGAUAGUGAACCAGUACCGUGAGGGAAAGGCGAAAAGAACCCCGGCGAGGGGAGUGAAAAAGAACCUGAAACCGUGUACGUACAAGCAGUGGGAGCACCUUCGGGUGUGACUGCGUACCUUUUGUAUAAUGGGUCAGCGACUUAUAUUCUGUAGCAAGGUUAACCGUAUAGGGGAGCCGCAGGGAAACCGAGUCUUAACUGGGCGUUAAGUUGCAGGGUAUAGACCCGAAACCCGGUGAUCUAGCCAUGGGCAGGUUGAAGGUUGGGUAACACUAACUGGAGGACCGAACCGACUAAUGUUGAAAAAUUAGCGGAUGACUUGUGGCUGGGGGUGAAAGGCCAAUCAAACCGGGAGAUAGCUGGUUCUCCCCGAAAGCUAUUUAGGUAGCGCCUCGUGAAUUCAUCUUCGGGGGUAGAGCACUGUUUCGGCUAGGGGGUCAUCCCGACUUACCAACCCGAUGCAAACUACGAAUACCGAAGAAUGUUAUCACGGGAGACACACGGCGGGUGCUAACGUCCGUCGUGAAGAGGGAAACAACCCAGACCGCCAGCUAAGGUCCCAAAGUCAUGGUUAAGUGGGAAACGAUGUGGGAAGGCACAGACAGCCAGGAUGUUGGCUUAGAAGCAGCCAUCAUUUAAAGAAAGCGUAAUAGCUCACUGGUCGAGUCGGCCUGCGCGGAAGAUGUAACGGGGCUAAACCAUGCACCGAAGCUGCGGCAGCGACACUAUGUGUUGUUGGGUAGGGGAGCGUUCUGUAAGCCUGCGAAGGUGACCUGUGAGGGUUGCUGGAGGUAUCAGAAGUGCGAAUGCUGACAUAAGUAACGAUAAAGCGGGUGAAAAGCCCGCUCGCCGGAAGACCAAGGGUUCCUGUCCAACGUUAAUCGGGGCAGGGUGAGUCGACCCCUAAGGCGAGGCCGAAAGGCGUAGUCGAUGGGAAACAGGUUAAUAUUCCUGUACUUGGUGUUACUGCGAAGGGGGACGGAGAAGGCUAUGUUAGCCGGGCGACGGUUGUCCCGGUUUAAGCAUGUAGGCUGGUUGUCCAGGCAAAUCCGGAUAAUCAAGGCUGAGGUGUGAUGACGAGGCACUACGGUGCUGAAGUAACAAAUGCCCUGCUUCCAGGAAAAGCCUCUAAGCAUCAGGUAACAUCAAAUCGUACCCCAAACCGACACAGGUGGUCAGGUAGAGAAUACCAAGGCGCUUGAGAGAACUCGGGUGAAGGAACUAGGCAAAAUGGUGCCGUAACUUCGGGAGAAGGCACGCUGGUGUGUAGGUGAAGUCCCUGCGGAUGGAGCUGAGACCAGUCGAAGAUACCAGCUGGCUGCAACUGUUUAUUAAAAACACAGCACUGUGCAAACACGAAAGUGGACGUAUACGGUGUGACGCCUGCCCGGUGCCGGAAGGUUAAUUGAUGGGGUUAUCCGUAAGGAGAAGCUCUUGAUCGAAGCCCCGGUAAACGGCGGCCGUAACUAUAACGGUCCUAAGGUAGCGAAAUUCCUUGUCGGGUAAGUUCCGACCUGCACGAAUGGCGUAAUGAUGGCCAGGCUGUCUCCACCCGAGACUCAGUGAAAUUGAACUCGCUGUGAAGAUGCAGUGUACCCGCGGCAAGACGGAAAGACCCCGUGAACCUUUACUAUAGCUUGACACUGAACAUUGAGCCUUGAUGUGUAGGAUAGGUGGGAGGCUUUGAAGCGUGGACGCCAGUCUGCGUGGAGCCAACCUUGAAAUACCACCCUUUAAUGUUUGAUGUUCUAACGUUGGCCCCUGACCGGGGUUGCGGACAGUGUCUGGUGGGUAGUUUGACUGGGGCGGUCUCCUCCCAAAGCGUAACGGAGGAGCACGAAGGUUAGCUAAUCCUGGUCGGACAUCAGGAGGUUAGUGCAAUGGCAUAAGCUAGCUUGACUGCGAGCGUGACGGCGCGAGCAGGUGCGAAAGCAGGUCAUAGUGAUCCGGUGGUUCUGAAUGGAAGGGCCAUCGCUCAACGGAUAAAAGGUACUCCGGGGAUAACAGGCUGAUACCGCCCAAGAGUUCAUAUCGACGGCGGUGUUUGGCACCUCGAUGUCGGCUCAUCACAUCCUGGGGCUGAAGUAGGUCCCAAGGGUAUGGCUGUUCGCCAUUUAAAGUGGUACGCGAGCUGGGUUUAGAACGUCGUGAGACAGUUCGGUCCCUAUCUGCCGUGGGCGCUGGAGAAUUGAGGGGGGCUGCUCCUAGUACGAGAGGACCGGAGUGGACGCAUCACUGGUGUUCGGGUUGUCAUGCCAAUGGCACUGCCCGGUAGCUAAAUGCGGAAGAGAUAAGUGCUGAAAGCAUCUAAGCACGAAACUUGCCCCGAGAUGAGUUCUCCCUGAGACUUUAAGUCUCCUGAAGGAACGUUGAAGACGACGACGUUGAUAGGCCGGGUGUGUAAGCGCAGCGAUGCGUUGAGCUAACCGGUACUAAUGAACCGUGAGGCUUAACCUU
rnacentral:rRNA from 1 species